ensembl:lncRNA
AUGGGUGAUAGCGUCUAAGAGGACAAGAUGAAUUACUUUGUUGGGAUUCUUUUGGCCAUGCAGUGGCUCAUUGGUGUGUCUACAACGGUACUUGGAUUCCCCAUAUCAUGUUGUACAGAAACCAAGCGAACCAAUGUCAGAGUUGAAAAAAUUGUGAACUAUGUGCAUCAAGAUUAUCCACAAUGCCCUAUCAAAGCUGUAAGGUUUAAUCUGGUAAACAGCAUAACAGUAUGCUCUAAUCCAGAGGAUCCUUGGGCCAAACAUGCCAUAAAGGUAGUGGAUAGUCGACCACAAACACAAAAAUGCCCAAUACCCCAUCGACUUCUAUAAGCUGUACAACAACUACUACAAGCACAUCUACACCAGGAAUAAGUCCAACAAAUACAAUAACCACGACAACAC